rnacentral:rRNA from 1 species
AUUGAACGCUGGCGGCAGGCCUAACACAUGCAAGUCGAGCGGAUGAAGGGAGCUUGCUCCUGGAUUCAGCGGCGGACGGGUGAGUAAUGCCUAGGAAUCUGCCUGGUAGUGGGGGAUAACGUCCGGAAACGGGCGCUAAUACCGCAUACGUCCUGAGGGGGAAAGUGGGGGAUCUUCGGACCUCACGCUAUCAGAUGAGCCUAGGUCGGAUUAGCUAGUUGGUGGGGUAAAGGCCUACCAAGGCGACGAUCCGUAACUGGUCUGAGAGGAUGACCAGUCACACUGGAACUGAGACACGGUCCAGACUCCUACGGGAGGCAGCAGUGGGGAAUAUUGGACAAUGGGCGAAAGCCUGAUCCAGCCAUGCCGCGUGUGUGAAGAAGGUCUUCGGAUUGUAAAGCACUUUAAGUUGGGAGGAAGGGCAGUAAGUUAAUACCUUGCUGUUUUGACGUUACCAACAGAAUAAGCACCGGCUAACUUCGUG